GACAGAGGGUGCAAACGUUGUUCGGAAUUACUGGGCGUAAAGCGUGUGUAGGCGGUCUCAUAAGUCGGAUGUGAAAGCCCCGGGCUCAACCCGGGAAGUGCAUUCGAAACUGCGAGGCUAGAGUAUCGGAGAGGUUGGUGGAAUUCUCGGUGUAGAGGUGAAAUUCGUAGAUAUCGAGAGGAACACCGGUGGCGAAGGCGGCCAACUGGACGAAUACUGACGCUGAGACACGAAAGCGUGGGAGCAAACAGG
rnacentral:rRNA from 1 species